GACAGAGGCCCCGAGCGUUAGGCGGAAUCACUGGGCUUAAAGCGUGUGUAGGCGGACCGGUAAGUACCUUGUGAAAUCCCGCGGCUCACCCGUGGAACUGCUGGGUAUACUGCCGGUCUCGGGCCAACUAGGGGCAACUGGAACAAGCGGUGGAGCGGUGAAAUGCGUAGAUAUCAGGAGGAAUACCGAUGGCGAAGGCAGGUCUCUGGGCAUUAACUGACGCUGAGGCGCGAAAGCGUGGGGAGCGAACAGG
rnacentral:rRNA from 1 species